CCCCUCCCGAUUCCUGACUCCUCAGAUCUAAAUAGUGGUCUGAGGGGCUCGAAAGAAGGAGAAAGCUAAAGCUGACGUGGACUUGGUUGUGUAUCGAGUGACAAACAAGUUCAUUUCAAACAGGA
rnacentral:snoRNA from 1 species